CGCUGAAAAAGGGCUGGAAGCAGCAGCAUCAUGUACCCCAAAGGAAGGAGAGAUACCCGCCAGGGAAAUAUGUCACUGGAUCCACCUUACGAGAGUGGCUGAAGCUUCCCGACAGAGAGAGGGAAAUGAGAAGUUGCCUUACAGACGCGGAAUGCAAUGACACUGACAAAUAUUGAGAAAGACACAUAACCACACACAAAAGAGGCUCAUCCUGAAAAAACGGAUAAAAGAAG